AUUUGAUAUGUUCCUUCCAUGCUGUGAGUUUUUCCUGAUUUAAUGAAUCAUCAAGGAUUUUGCACUUCAUUUUUCUCUCCUUUUUUGUGUUUAGAGUUUGGGCAUCAAAUUGUUUUUGUAGUUGAUUGAAUCAAUGUGGGUUUUUGGUCAAUUUGUGGGUGGAGCAUAAAACUUUGAUUUUGGGAUCUGGGUGAUGGUCGAUUGGUUAUUAUAUUUCAAUUUGAGAGCGAAUUGAGCUGUUAAUUGAGUAUUUAGAGCUUAAAUUACAUGCCAAAUUUAACGGGAAAUAUACACUCUCUAUCGUAUUUAGAUCUGGGUAAUCACUAUCA
rnacentral:misc_RNA from 1 species